rnacentral:lncRNA from 1 species
UCCUCCUGCAGUGGAUGGGAACUAAUAAAGAGAUUCAACUGGACCCUGUAUUGACAGUUAAAACAUCCAGUGCUAACUGGGUGUCUUUAUCAAACCCCUGUCCUCAGGACACAGCAAAUGCUGUGAAAGAGGAAGCAGAAAGAUUUUAAGAGUCAGUGAAGAGAGAUAAUGCCAAAGAAACAGUGACUUCCAGACACAACAGGACUGGUGCACAUAUGGAUUCAGAAACAAUGACAACAUGCACGGAAACUUCACAGGUCCAAGUUGGGUUUGUCUUUACAGCCCCUGCUUCCCUUGAACUUGCUUUGGAGACAAGAUUAGCCUUCAACUCAGAUAUGCAUGUGACUCUGCCUCCCCACUGCUGGAAUUA